GAUGAACGCUGGCGGCGUGCCUAAUACAUGCAAGUCGAGCGAACAGACGAGGAGCUUGCUCCUUUGACGUUAGCGGCGGACGGGUGAGUAACACGUGGGUAACCUACCUAUAAGACUGGGAUAACUUCGGGAAACCGGAGCUAAUACCGGAUAAUAUUUCGAACCGCAUGGUUCGAUAGUGAAAGAUGGCUUUGCUAUCACUUAUAGAUGGACCUGCGCCGUAUUAGCUAGUUGGUAAGGUAACGGCUUACCAAGGCAACGAUACGUAGCCGACCUGAGAGGGUGGUCGGCCACACUGGAACUGAGACACGGUCCAGACGCCUACGGGAGGCAGCAGUAGGGAAUCUUCCGCAAUGGGCGAAAGCCUGACGGAGCAACGCCGCGUGAGUGAUGAAGGUCUUCGGAUCGUAAAACUCUGUUAUUAGGGAAGAACAAACGUGUAAGUAACUGUGCACGUCUUGACGGUACCUAAUCAGAAAGCCACGGCUAACUACGUG
rnacentral:rRNA from 1 species